CGCACCUUGCACCUUUUGGUAUUCCGAAAGGUAUGCCUGUUUGAGUGUCAUGAAAUCUCACUCCAACCGGGUUUUACGACCCGGUUAGGACGUGGACUUGGGCGUCUGUCUUUCAUUAGACUCGCCUCAAAUGGAUUAGUGGACUGGAAAGUUUAUGGCUAGGACGUAAUAAGUUUCGUCUAUGUGCCGGAUUUGGAAGUCUGCUCAGAACCACAACCAAAAUUCUAUGACAUUGACCUCAAAUCAGGUAGGGCUACCCGCUGAACUUAA
rnacentral:misc_RNA from 1 species